rnacentral:rRNA from 1 species
AUUGAACGCUGGCGGCAGGCCUAACACAUGCAAGUCGAACGAGUGGCGGACGGGUGAGUAAUGUCUGGGGAACUGCCCGAAGGAGGGGGAUAACUACUGGAAACGGUAGCUAAUACCGCAUACACUCGGAUGUGCCCAUAUGGGAUUAGCUCGUAGGUGGGGUAACGUCUCCCCUAGGCGACGAUCCCUAGCUGGUCUGAGAGGAUGACCAGCAACACGGGAACGGAGAAACGGCCCAGACUCUUACGGGAGGCAGCAGUGGGGAAUAUGGCACAAUGGGCGCAAGCCUGAUGCAGCCAUGCCGCGUGUAUGAAGAAGGCCUUAGGGUUGUAAAGUACUUUCAGCGAGGAGGCGUUACCCGCAGAAGAAGCACCGGCUAACUCCGUGCCAGCAGCCGCGGUAAUUC